rnacentral:rRNA from 1 species
CAAUAGCGUAUAUUAAAGUUGUUGCAGUUAAAAAGCUCGUAGUUGGAUUUGUGGCGUACGGUGUGUUCCGGGCACUUGUUGUCUGAGUAACCUGCUGUUGCCAUCCUUGGGUGGAACCUGUGUGGCAUUAGGUUGUCGUGCAGGGGAUGCCCAUCAUUUACUGUGAAAAAAUUAGAGUGUUCAAAGCAGGCUUAUGCCGUUGAAUAUAUUAGCAUGGAAUAAUGAGAUAGGACUUUUUUGCUAUUUUGUUGGUUUGCGCAAAGAGGUAAUGAUUAAUAGGGACAGUUGGGGGUAUUCGUACUCCAUUGUCAGAGGUGAAAUUCUUGGAUUUUUGGAAGACGAACUACUGCGAAAGCAUUUACCAAGGAUGUUUUCAUUAA